rnacentral:lncRNA from 1 species
AUUUGGAACUGCAAAGAUAUUAAUCUUAUUCUUACCUUAGUAAAAGUUUAUUUCUCUUAAAUGUCUUAAAUGUAAAAAAAAAAAAUCAUUUAGUAGAGGAGGUAUUACAGGAAGUAACAACUAUUUAUAGGAAUUUCAAGGCAAUAAAACAAUAGGGUGAACUGUUCUUUACCCUUCAACUCCUAUUUUAAUAUUAUUACAUGUUUCUAUUCUUAAUUGGGUCACUGACCUGGAAUCAUUGAAUAUAGAAUGGCUAAGAAGGAAAAAACUAUCGAGUUAGACCUGGAACAUUCUAUAUGAGGUAAUGUUAAGUAAAAAAGUGGAGACAUGGUUUUAAUUUCUGUAUAUUUAUCAGAUACUACUUGCAGAAUAAAGAUGAGGAAUGUUGGAAUCUGAUGAAUUAAUCAACUUGAACAAAGCUUUCAAAGGACACAGCAGGGGAAGGAAUAAUCAGAGAACAAGUUGAAUUAAAAGAUAUUAAUUAUUGUGAGCCAUCACCUCAUAUUUUUAUUGUGUUUUUUUAUAGUGAAAUCAGUAAAAUCUAGUUAUAUUCCAUUAUAAAACUAUCUAUUCAUUGUGGUUUGGAUUAUGAUUUAAAUAAAUUUAGAUUCAUCUAAUUCCAUUGUAAAGGCUAUAAUUUCUGAACAUGAAU